AAUAAGAUAGGAUAAGUAAGUCUAUUGGGUUCAUACCUCAAAGGUGUUUUCUCUUGUUA
rnacentral:tRNA from 1 species